rfam:Serratia marcescens FGI94, complete genome.
CGGGUCUGUUCUGCCGGUUUAGCAGCCGGUCACCGGGCUUGAGAACAGUGCUGCAACAACCGCGAUGCGAGCGUCACAAAGCGCUUGUUCCGCCGGGAUUUUUCCGGUGAAGUCGCGGUGGUCGUGGUUCCACAGGGAUCGCGCAAUGAAAAGGAGUUCGUUAUUUAUCCUGCUCAUUGUACUGGGCGCGGCGUUUGGGGUUGAUAAAGGCGGUUGGUCGGUCAACGGCAACAGCCUGACGCUGAACGUAAUAGUCCAGAACAAGUAAGCUACUGGCCGCUCACUGAGCGGCCUUUU